CGGACCGUUUAAUUGGGUAACUGAAAGAGCGGUCAGUGGCGAAAGGGUGAGGAAUAGAUAGGUAACGUACCCUGAACUUCGGGAUAGCGUCAUCUCGAGCAAUCGGGAUUUCCGAAAGGGGCAUUAAUACCGAAUGAUGUCGGCGGUUGCGGGAUUGCCGAUCAAAGAUUUAUCGGUUUGGGAGCGGCCUAUCUCCUAUCAGCUAGUUGGUGAGGUAACGGCCCACCAAGGCGACGACGGGUAGCGGGACUGAGAGGUUGACCCGCCACAUCGGGACUGAGACACUGCCCGGACCUCCACGGAGGGCUGCAGUAACGAAUAUUGGGCAAUGGGCGAAAGCCUGACCCAGCAACGCCGCGUGCAGGACGAAGCCCCUCGGGGUGUAAACUGCUGUCAGGGGCAAGAAAGCCGCAAGGUUGAUCAGCCCCGGAGGAAGUCACGGCUAACUUCGUGCCAGCAGCCGCGGUAAGACGAAGGUGGCGAGCGUUGUUCGAAAUCACUGGGCUUAAAGGGCGCGUAGGCGGAUCGGCACGUGUCUUGUGAAAUCCCCCGGCUUAACCGGGGAAUUGCUUGGCAAACGGCCGGUCUUGAGGCAAGCAGGGGUGCGUGGAACUCUUGGUGGAGCGGUGGAAUGCGUAGAUAUCAAGAGGAACGCCGAAGGUGAAGACAGCGCACUGGGCUUGCCCUGACGCUGAGGCGCGAAAGCGUGGGGAGCAAACAGGAUUAGAUACCCUGGUAGUCCACGCUGUAAACGAUGCCUACUAG
rnacentral:rRNA from 1 species